rnacentral:rRNA from 2 species
CGCGUUGGCCCAAUUGAUUGAUGGUGCUUGCACCUGAUUGAUUUUGGUCGCCAACGAGUGGCGGACGGGUGAGUAACACGUAGGUAACCUGCCCAGAAGCGGGGGACAACAUUUGGAAACAGAUGCUAAUACCGCAUAACAGCGUUGUUCGCAUGAACAACGCUUAAAAGAUGGCUUCUCGCUAUCACUUCUGGAUGGACCUGCGGUGCAUUAGCUUGUUGGUGGGGUAACGGCCUACCAAGGCGAUGAUGCAUAGCCGAGUUGAGAGACUGAUCGGCCACAAUGGGACUGAGACACGGCCCAUACUCCUACGGGAGGCAGCAGUAGGGAAUCUUCCACAAUGGGCGCAAGCCUGAUGGAGCAACACCGCGUGAGUGAAGAAGGGUUUCGGCUCGUAAAGCUCUGUUGUUAAAGAAGAACACGUAUGAGAGUAACUGUUCAUACGUUGACGGUAUUUAACCAGAAAGUCACGGCUAACUACGUGCCAGCAGCCGCGGUAAUACGUAGGUGGCAAGCGUUAUCCGGAUUUAUUGGGCGUAAAGAGAGUGCAGGCGGUUUUCUAAGUCUGAUGUGAAAGCCUUCGGCUUAACCGGAGAAGUGCAUCGGAAACUGGAUAACUUGAGUGCAGAAGAGGGUAGUGGAACUCCAUGUGUAGCGGUGGAAUGCGUAGAUAUAUGGAAGAACACCAGUGGCGAAGGCGGCUACCUGGUCUGCAACUGACGCUGAGACUCGAAAGCAUGGGUAGCGAACAGGAUUAGAUACCCUGGUAGUCCAUGCCGUAAACGAUGAGUGCUAGGUGUUGGAGGGUUUCCGCCCUUCAGUGCCGGAGCUAACGCAUUAAGCACUCCGCCUGGGGAGUACGACCGCAAGGUUGAAACUCAAAGGAAUUGACGGGGGCCCGCACAAGCGGUGGAGCAUGUGGUUUAAUUCGAAGCUACGCGAAGAACCUUACCAGGUCUUGACAUCUUGCGCCAACCCUAGAGAUAGGGCGUUUCCUUCGGGAACGCAAUGACAGGUGGUGCAUGGUCGUCGUCAGCUCGUGUCGUGAGAUGUUGGGUUAAGUCCCGCAACGAGCGCAACCCUUGUUACUAGUUGCCAGCAUUAAGUUGGGCACUCUAGUGAGACUGCCGGUGACAAACCGGAGGAAGGUGGGGACGACGUCAGAUCAUCAUGCCCCUUAUGACCUGGGCUACACACGUGCUACAAUGGACGGUACAACGAGUCGCGAACUCGCGAGGGCAAGCAAAUCUCUUAAAACCGUUCUCAGUUCGGACUGCAGGCUGCAACUCGCCUGCACGAAGUCGGAAUCGCUAGUAAUCGCGGAUCAGCAUGCCGCGGUGAAUACGUUCCCGGGCCUUGUACACACCGCCCGUCACACCAUGAGAGUUUGUAACACCCAAAGUCGGUGGGGUAACCUUUUAGGAGCCAGCCGCCUAAG